rnacentral:rRNA from 1 species
GGCGCAAGCCUGAUGCAGCAACGCCGCGUGAGGGACGACGGCCUUCGGGUUGUAAACCUCUUUUAGCAGGGAAGAAGCGAGAGUGACGGUACCUGCAGAAAAAGCACCGGCUAACUACGUGCCAGCAGCCGCGGUAAUACGUAGGGUGCAAGCGUUGUCCGGAAUUAUUGGGCGUAAAGAGCUCGUAGGCGGUCUGUCGCGUCUGCUGUGAAAACCCGAGGCUCAACCUCGGGCUUGCAGUGGGUACGGGCAGACUAGAGUGCGGUAGGGGAGAUUGGAAUUCCUGGUGUAGCGGUGGAAUGCGCAGAUAUCAGGAGGAACACCGAUGGCGAAGGCAGAUCUCUGGGCCGUAACUGACGCUGAGGAGCGAAAGCGUGGGGAGCAAACAGGCUUAGAUACCCUGGUAGUCCACGCCGUAAACGUUGGGAACUAGAUGUGGGGACCAUUCCACGGUCUCCGUGUCGUAGCUAACGCAUUAAGUUCCCCGCCUGGGGAGUACGGCCGCAAGGCUAAAACUCAAAGGAAUUGACGGGGGCCCGCACAAGCGGCGGAGCAUGCGGAUUAAUUCGAUGCAACGCGAAGAACCUUACCAAGGCUUGACAUAUACGAGAACGCGCUGGAGACAGCGAACUCUUUGGACACUCGUAUACAGGUGGUGCAUGGUUGUCGUCAGCUCGUGUCGUGAGAUGUUGGGUUAAG